rnacentral:lncRNA from 1 species
GAGAAUGAAUUUCAUUCUCUCCCUUCAUCAACCAACCUCUACCCAUAAACAAAACUUCCCUUACCUUAUAAAAGAAGGAGAAAGAAAGUGGAAUGGUUCUUGAUAGAGCUCCUAGAUCUUCUUCUAGCUCCAACCCUUUUUCCUCUUCACUUUGAACCCAACUCUUUUUCUCUUAAACCCUUCAUCCUCAUGAAGUUCUUUCUCUUUGGAACUCUCCUUUCUCUUUUCUACAAUUCACUCUUUUUCUUCUCUGCUCUUUCUUGCUCCCUUUCUCUAUUCUUUCUUAUGAGUUACAAAUGAAUCUCUCCCUCAAUGGUCAUAAGACCUAGGGUUUUCUACUACUCUUAAGGCCAAUUACCAAAAAUGCCCUCCUCACUUAAUGGACUUAUUAUUCCCACUCCACUUUAAUGGACCUCACCUCCCCUAACUCUCUAGCCCAACUAGUAAAUAGCUCAAUUAAUAUGCUAAGUGAAACUCACAAAUAUGUUACUCAAUUACAUCAAUUAAAGUAAUACUACCAAUAAUUUCGCCACAUCAUCAUUUUCUAUUAAAUCAGAAAUUAUCGAAAUUGGGGUGUUACAG